GGGAACAUACCCUUUUCUACGGAAUAGCUCUGGGAAACUGGAAUUAAUACCGUAUACGCCCUACGGGGGAAAGAUUUAUCGGGGAAGGAUUGGCCCGCGUUGGAUUAGCUAGUUGGUGGGGUAAAGGCCUACCAAGGCGACGAUCCAUAGCUGGUCUGAGAGGAUGAUCAGCCACAUUGGGACUGAGACACGGCCCAAACUCCUACGGGAGGCAGCAGUGGGGAAUAUUGGACAAUGGGCGCAAGCCUGAUCCAGCCAUGCCGCGUAAGUGAUGAAGGCCUUAGGGUUGUAAAGCUCUUUCACCGAUGAAGAUAAUGACGGUAGUCGGAGAAGAAGCCCCGGCUAACUUCGUGCCAGCAGCCGCGGUAAUACGAAGGGGGCUAGCGUUGUUCGGAAUUACUGGGCGUAAAGCGCACGUAGGCGGAUAUUUAAGUCAGGGGUGAAAUCCCAGAGCUCAACUCUGGAACUGCCUUUGAUACUGGGUAUCUUGAGUAUGGAAGAGGUAAGUGGAAUUGCGAGU
rnacentral:rRNA from 1 species